CUACGUAGGGGGCGAGCGUUGUCCGGAAUGACUGGGCGUAAAGGGCGAGUAGGCGGCGGUGGAAGUCUGGCGUGAACGUCCCGCAUUCAAUGUGGGAAUUGCUUUGGAUACUGCAGUGCUAGAGUGCGGAAGAGGUAAGUGGAAUUUCAAGUGUAGUGGUGAAAUGCGUAGAGAUUGGGAGGAACACCAGUGGCGAAGGCGACUUACUGGGCCGUAACUGACGCUGAGGCGCGAAAGCGUGGGGAGCGAACAGGAUUAGAUACCCUGGUAGUCCACGCGGUAAACGAUGAAUGCUAGGUGUUGCGGGUAUCGACCCCUGCAGUGCCGGAGUAAACACAAUAAGCAUUCCGCCUGGGGAGUACGGCCGCAAGGUUGAAACUCAAAGGAAUUGACGGGG
rnacentral:rRNA from 1 species